rnacentral:rRNA from 1 species
AUUGAACGCUGGCGGCAGGCUUAACACAUGCAAGUCGAGCGGGGGAAGGUAGCUUGCUACCGGACCUAGCGGCGGACGGGUGAGUAAUGCUUAGGAAUCUGCCUACUAGUGGGGACAACAUCUCGAAUGGGAUGCUAAUACCGCAUACGUCCUACGGGAGAAAGCAGGGGAUCUUCGGACCUUGCGCUAAUAGAUGAGCCUAAGGCGGAUUAGCUAGUUGGUGGGGUAAAGGGCUAGCAAGGCGACGAUCUGUAGCGGGUCUGGGAGGAUGAUCCGCCACACUGGGUCUGAGACACGGCCCAGACUCCUACGGGGGGCAGCAGUGGGGAAUAUUGGACAAUGGGGGGAACCCUGAUCCAGCCAUGCCGCGUGUGUGAAGAAGGCCUUAUGGUUGUAAAGCACUUUAAGCGAGGAGGAGGCUACUUUAGUUAAUACCUAGAGAUAGUGGACGUUACUCGCAGAAUAAGCACCGGCUAACUCUGUGCCAGCAGCCGCCGUAA